rnacentral:lncRNA from 1 species
AACCAUAAAAGGAGCCUAUUAAACCCUUCUCUUUGAGGUUUUAGGACCGUCAUGCUUAAGAGAGUGGAUCCCCCUAUUACAAAAUUAGCAUUAAUUUUCAUUGUCAUUUACUGCAUUAGCUAGUGCAUCAUAUGAUUUCAUUUCAUAGUAAUAAAAUUUUUUCCAAGUCCCUUAAAAAAAGAAUCACAUUAAUUACAGAUUCUAAUCUAAAAAAAACAUAAUCUAAUUAAUAACUCCAACAAUAUACCGCACGAAUGGAAUCAUCAUCAAACAUAUAUUUAUAGCACAAACAAGCAGUAACAUAUAAUCUAGCAACACGCAAUUGGCUCCAAGUCUAACAAUCGUACUCCUACAAAAUGACUGUAACAAUAAAACAAAUAAUGAAGAAGUGUAAACUUAAAUUAGAUACAUAUAGAGCUCAGUUAAUUCAUCAUAAACACAUAUAUCACCUCAAUUUAGCAAUCAAACUCAAAACCAACUCAUCAUUCACAAAUCAAAUUACUCAAUCUGAUGCAGCAAGUACUAUAACAAAUUAUCAAUUACAUAUAGCUCACACACAUAGAGAAGGGAGAGAGGGAGAGAGAGAGGGAGAGAGGGAGAGAGAGAGAGAGAGAGAGAGAG